rnacentral:lncRNA from 1 species
CCCCGCCCCGGCCCCGCCCCCAGCCGUUCCCGCCCCGCCCCCGGCCCGCGUCGCCGUCUCUCGCCCUCCCCCGGCCGCGCGGCCGGAGCUGGCACUGAGCACCGGCGGCCGCGGCGGCCUCGCGUUUUGGCACGCCAGCGCCCCGCUGGACACGGCGUCCCCGAGAGCGCCCGGCGCGCGCGGAUCUGCCUUCCGCGGCCCCGGGCUGCCCGGGGGCGUCCGGCGCUCCCCGAGGGCGGGCGUGUCCGCGCGGCGCCGGGCGGGGCACGGGCGCGGGGCCUCAGCCUGUUGGAGCGCCGGGGGCGCCGGACCCGGGGGCUUCGGGAGCCCUGCGGGGGCCGGGCCGCCCGAGUCCCACGCAGAGCAGUGUUUUCCAACUCUCCGCCUGCGUCUCAUCGGGCCCACCACCACCCGGAGAGACCCCGUCCAGAUCUGCCGAGUGUCAUGAAAAAGGAACGGAAAAGAGACGUCACUGUUGGUGAAAGGGGAGUUUUCUUUCCCAGUUGAUGGUUACUUCGUGAUUGGAAAAGAAGUACCUAGGUGGUUGCAAAGAUUAGAUUUUCAUAGUUGUACAGAUGAAGCUGAUAAAAGAAGAUGAGAAUAUGCUUUCUCAGAUGGGUCAUAAUAGGCUGAUGAGUAAGUAAGCCUGACAAGACAGACUGGAAAUGAGGGCAGGAAUCUGGAAUGUUUUAAAACCAAGUAGGACUUUGAACACUUGCUGAGGAUUUUUUCUCCCAAAAAUGGAGGAAGAAAAAAAAAAUUCUCACAGCCAGAAGUGUAAAAAGCUGAGCGGAGUAACAACCCAGUCUGCUCCAAGGAUUUCAGUACUUCAUCAACUUCUUUGAGAGCACACAGACAAAGGCAUCAGACCUGUAUGAUGAGCUUGUCACCAGUGAUGGUAUCCUGUGCCAGGAAUGACUUCUUAAUUUGGAUUUUGGAGUGCUUUUUUUUUUUUUUUUACAAUGUGGGGUUUUUGACUCUCCAUGUUAGGUAGAUUUCUGUCACGGAAGUAACUUGUGAAUUCAUAGUAUUCUUGACUAUCUCCACUCCUGUUUGCUGUGUGACAUGGGAAAAUCAAGAGGCUUUAACAUUCCUUGAAGUUUUAUUGGAAGCAACACUGCAUCAGGGAGGCAGAUUCACAGUGUAAGUUUUCUCUUUUUGGCAACUGUACUUUGAAUGAGCCGAAUGUCAGCAGGAUUUCACAGCGCAUACAAUUUACAGUCUUUGUUUUAUCAAGGCCUUAAAUGUAUGUUUUAUACUCAGCAGAUGGGAAGCACAUUGAACGCUGCAUUUGACAUGUAUGCCUGAGGA